rnacentral:rRNA from 1 species
CACGUAGGGUGCGAGCGUUGUCCGGAAUUAUUGGGCGUAAAGAGCUCGUAGGCGGUCUGUCGCGUCUGCUGUGAAAACUCAGGGCUUAACCCUGAGCUUGCAGUGGGUACGGGCAGACUAGAGUGCGGUAGGGGAGAACGGAAUUCCUGGUGUAGCGGUGAAAUGCGCAGAUAUCAGGAGGAACACCGGUGGCGAAGGCGGUUCUCUGGGCCUGUACUGACGCUGAGGAACGAAAGCGUGGGGAGCAAACAGG